rnacentral:rRNA from 1 species
UGGGGAAUAUUGCACAAUGGGCGCAAGCCCGAUGCAGCCAUGCCGCGUGUAUGAAGAAGGCCUUCGGGUUGUAAAGUACUUUCAGCGGGGAGGAAGGUGUUGAGGUUAAUAACCUCAGCAAUUGACGUUACCCGCAGAAGAAGCACCGGCUAACUCCGUGCCAGCAGCCGCGGUAAUACGGAGGGUGCAAGCGUUAAUCGGAAUUACUGGGCGUAAAGCGCACGCAGGCGGUCUGUCAAGUCGGAUGUGAAAUCCCCGGGCUCAACCUGGGAACUGCAUUCGAAACUGGCAGGCUAGAGUCUUGUAGAGGGGGGUAGAAUUCCAGGUGUAGCGGUGAAAUGCGUAGAGAUCUGGAGGAAUACCGGUGGCGAAGGCGGCCCCCUGGACAAAGACUGACGCUCAGGUGCGAAAGCGUGGGGAGCAAACA